GAUGAACGCUGGCGGCGUGCCUAAUACAUGCAAGUCGAGCGAACAGACGAGGAGCUUGCUCCUCUGACGUUAGCGGCGGACGGGUGAGUAACACGUGGAUAACCUACCUAUAAGACUGGGAUAACUUCGGGAAACCGGAGCUAAUACCGGCUCAUAUAUUGAACCGCAUGGUUCAAUAGUGAAAGACGGUUUUGCUGUCACUUAUAGCUGGAUCCGCGCCGCAUUAGCUAGUUGGUAAGGUAACGGCUUACCAAGGCUACGAUGCGUAGCCGACCUGAGAGGGUGAUCGGCCACACUGGAACUGAGACACGGUCCAGACUCCUACGGGAGGCAGCAGUAGGGAAUCUUCCACAAUGGGCGAAAGCCUGACGGAGCAACGCCGCGUGAGUGAUGAAGGUCUUCGGAUCGUAAAACUCUGUUAUUGGGGAAGAACAGAUGUGGAAGUAACUAUGCACGUCUUGACGGUACCUAAUCAGAAAGCAACGGCUAACUACGUG
rnacentral:rRNA from 1 species